rnacentral:misc_RNA from 1 species
GCCAAAGUUAUCCAGGCAGGACUUUUUAAUACAACAUCCACUGCCCAGGACAGAAGAGAGAUGUUAGAGGAGAUAAUGCGAAGAGGAACAAGCUCACUUGGUACAGAUGUGCCAAGUGAGAGAGAAAUUAACCGCCUUGCAGCUAGAUCACCAGAAGAGUUUCGGAUCUUUGAGGGUAUGGAUAAGGAGAGAAGGCAGAAGGAGAAUUAUAGAUCUCGUCUUAUGGAAGAGCACGAGGUACCUGAAUGGGCAUAUUCCCACCCUGAUAAGGAAGACAAAACCAAAGCAUUAGAGCAGAAUAAUACUGCUGUCUUGGGGAAGCGGAGAAGAAAGGAGGUCACCUAUGCUGAUACAUUAAGCGAUUUACAAUGGAUGAAGGCUGUCGAAAGUGGACAAGACAUAUCAAAGCUGUCAACUAAAGGAAGGAGACGGGAACAUCUUCCAGCCGAAGGCAAUGAAUCAGCUAGUAAUAGUGCUGGAACAGAAAAAAGGGCUUUUGAAUUGAGGAAUGAAGUCAUGACCACGGCAAGUGAGGGAACAAGUGAAGAUACUUUUGGUUCAACCCAAAAGAGAUUCAAGCCUGAUGGAGGAAUUCAUGAAAAUCCUGAAUAUCAGAGUGUAGAAAAGUCUGAACAUCAAGGAGUCAGAGGAAACAAUUGGAGUGGGCAUGUGUUUACAUGGAAUGCCCAUAAGAAGA